rnacentral:lncRNA from 1 species
UAUCUAGCUUGCUAUCUUAAAUGAACACCAAAUUAAUCAUGUAGAUCACACUUCGACAGUAUUCUAUAAUUUAGAGUGUAGCAAUUUUUUUAGCUUUUUUCUUUUGUGAGAGAGUUAGUAUGCUAUCUGCUUUAUUUAUUUUUUUAAUAAAUGAACUCAGUUAAAAAUGUGAAACUUGUGACCUCGGAUAUCAAAAAUCAAGCUCUUAGUCUAACUAAAAAUGUGUAGUAAUUUUUUUUACUUCACUUUUUUGUUGUUUUUU